GGUACCACAGUCUCUCAUCUACCUUUGCCCGCGUGUGUUCGUUUAUGGAGCACCGCACGUGCCCGCGCAUCAUUUUCUGACGCCACUAAUCUGGAAGCUCUCUCCUUGGGCUCGUGGCAUCGCCUGGUGCCCGCGUGCCAGAAGACUACUGUUUUCAACUCGGGAUAAGACAUUUAAGUCUAUAUCGACGAUUAUACUAACUUUUAAAUGGUGUGUGAAAGUUAUAGCAUAUCGACGUUUUUGGGGACUCGAUGGCAUCAGUCGGUUGCUUCGUUUUACAUUAGGAUAACCGUAUUUUGAUUUAGUCCAUGUUCUUCUCGAGAACGGAUAACGAGGAGGAAGACACUUCGACCAUGGUUGUGUUGACACAGAAUGACUGAAACUAUAUUUUCAAAGAGCAACCGAUGCGAGGGACAACGCGAGGGACGAGUACAUUUAUGGAUGGUCUUGGUAGGGCACAUUGGAACUCUAUUACUGUGUGAAUAGCCUACAAUUGACUUUUGCUUCCAGGACUCUACCUUUCGUUCUACCUUUGGGUCUGGGGGCUGUGGUUCUGUCUCUCUGGGAUUGUAGUUUUGAGGGAGAGUGUGGUGGCAUGUCUUGGAUAUAGACCUUGCUAUGAGUCUGGCGUGGAAAAUACCUCGUGGAAGGUGUGCAGCGGGCUACAGACUGGAAAGACUCGACAUCGGCAACUGAUAGGCUACCCCCGUUUUUACCGAGCGUAAUGCACCUGGCAUGAAGACAGAGAAUGGAUAUUAUUUGGGAACUAUUUAUUAUUCUUCACGCCAAUUUCAUCAUCUGUGUAUCAGCUCAGCCAAAUGCACCUAAAAUACAUGAUGGAUGGUGGGCAUACAAGGAGGUGGUUCAGGGGAGCUUCGUACCAGGUAAGAAUCCCUAUACUGUACUGUAUACAGUGAACACUGAUGUUUAUUUCUCUAAGGUUGAACGAUAGCUUUUUUCUCCCCAGUGUGAAGAAGCAUUUUUUCUGUUUUCAUACCUCAACUACCUUGCCAGUGGCGCUGUUUUUAAUUCUUACAAGACUUUUGUUGCCCUUGUCGUCUAGCUGAUGAUGUUUUGUCGCUGAUUGACUGGCAGGUUUACAAGGGUCUUUCUUUCUACCUCGUUCAUUUCCUUCUAUGUGUACCCGUCACGACAAUUAUUUCCCAAGAUUGUAUUUUUCUUCUGCUGAGCUGUUGAAGGCUUUUGAUGACACUGCAGGUGUGUGUGUUGGCUUGCAUGCAGAUGUGUUUAUUUAAAUGAGUGCAGAGCUGAGAUGAUAAACCAACAACUACCCACACUGACAUUACCUUCCUCUUACCGUAGCAUUUUGUGUACGUCGGUCAUUUUUGGUGAUUUUGCUACACGAUGUUCCUGUAGAUUGUUCUAAACCCAUUAUUUGGUCAACAG